ACUGGCGUAGGAUAAAAAAUGACAUUUUCUGGUAUCGAUAAAUUGGUCCACUAGAAAAUAUCUGAAUGAAUUAGAUUUGGGGUCCAAUUCAUUUGUGCCUUAACAGAUUUGUCAAGGAAUUUGAAGUCCAGGUCUAGACCGCACUUUAUAUAGUCAAAAUGUUUUUUAACUUAGCCUCAGGUCAAUUACUGAAGUGGUGAAUCCAAUGGUUGAGCUUAAAAUGAUUUGAGUCCUAAUAUCUGAAGCCUAUUCGACUAUCCAAACAAGUAAAUAGAGAUUUGAAGGUUGGUGGUCCAAAGUAAAAAAUCUGACCUUUUGAAGUGUAAUUCAAAAAUGGUCAAGUCUAGGACCAAUGUUUUGGGCCUAUUUGGCCAUAAAGAG
rnacentral:lncRNA from 1 species